UGUUGCCUGACCGAAUGCCAGCGAGUAGUGGGGCCUAUCCCAAUAAGUUAAACUAUCGAGAGAGCUUGCCUAUGGUAUGUUAUGUGCGUAGCAUGUCGUGCGACUAGGCCUGGUUAGCACGCCCGAGUGUUGGGAAUGUUAUACGGGUCUGGGUUUAGGCCCUCAAUCUCACUUGCGAGGUGGUAACUGAGAGGAUUUUUCCCAAAUUAAGGCUCAUCCCAAAGGGAAAACUGAUGGCUUUGUUUGGUUUAAGGACACUAAUGGGUUUGGGUUUAGUUCGGAUGGGCGGGUUGGUUUCAUUUAAUGGACCUUAACUAGUUUGAGUAAAUUUAGUUGGCCCUU
rnacentral:lncRNA from 1 species